UACAUGUGGGGCAAGCGUUGUUCGGAAUUACUGGGCAUAAAGGGUGCGUAGGUGGCUUGGUAAGUCAGUGGUGAAAUCGUCCGGCCCAACCGGACAGCUGCCAAUGAUACUGCCGAGCUGGAGUGCGUGAGGGGUAGGGGGAACGAGCAGUGUAGCGGUGAAAUGCUUAGAUAUGACAUAGAACACCAAUUGCGAAGGCAGCUUACUACACAGUUAUUGACACUGAGGCACGAAAGCGUGGGGAUCAAACAGG
rnacentral:rRNA from 1 species